rnacentral:snoRNA from 1 species
CUCACACUCCAACCCAAGAAUAACUACUUCUGGUAGCAGUGGUUUAAACAGAGGUGCACACAACAAGUGGACCUUAUUGUUGGGAGCUGUUGCUGUGUCCCUCAAAGUGAAUGUGGAGGUUCUAUACCC